rnacentral:rRNA from 1 species
GACGAACGCUGGCGGCGUGCCUAAUACAUGCAAGUAGGACGCAGUUGCGAACGGGUGAGUAACGCGUAGGUAACUGCCUAGUAGAGGGGGAUAAAUAUUGGAAAAGAUAGCUAAUACCGCAUACUAGUAGAUGGACCUGCGUUGUAUUAGCUAGUUGGUAGGGUAAAGGCCUACCUAGGCGACGAUACAUAGCCGACCUGGGAGGGUGAUCGGCCACACUGGGACUGAGACACGGCCCAGACUCCUACGGGGGGCAGCAGUAGGGAAUCUUCGGCAAUGGAGGGAAGUCUGACCGAGCAACGCCGCGUGAGUGAAGAAGGUUUUCGGAUCGUAAAGCUCUGUUGUUAAGGAAGCGGUACCUAACCAGAAAGGGACGGCUAACUACGUGCCAGCAGCCGCGGUAAUAC